UGUUGUUGCCACUGUGCUUCUAAAUUUAUAAUUAAAGUAAAUCCCCAAACAAAUUCAAUCGAUAUAUUAAUUAUAAGGAUUCAUUUACACAAAUUUCGAGUUGAACAAAAGCUGCUCAGUGAAAUGAUCUAAGGGGCAAUUGGAGCAGAAGAUCAGUAUGACGACCUUCCAGCGGGGCCUGGGUAAGCGCACGUGGACUAUAAACUAACGGUCAGUGCUGCGCAAAGCGCUCUUCAGCAAAGCUUCCUCCUUCCAGUACAUGGGAGCUAACAAGAGACUAACAGAUGGACAAUGUUGAGAGGAUGAAAGACUUUGGAACGCUCGGUCCUACAUGGGAUGUCUUUGCUGAAGGCCUCCUCUCACAGCCAGGAAUCUAUGCAGAGGAUGCAGGAAGUAUGGUGAUCGCAUUCUCAACAAUCAGGAAACGUAAAGCAGACUGGGUGUGAACUUUGUUUGUUUAGCUUCCCUGUGGAGGGUGAACAACUUAGAACCUUAGUCACCCUGUCGGCAUGUUACACAGAAUCCUUCUGUCUCGGGUGCACUGACUCCUUCAACACAAAUGCUUAAAUAAAGGCUAUGUCUUUGACAAAAGGUGACCCAAAGCUAGAACUAAGGAUGAACUGAGAGACAA
rnacentral:lncRNA from 1 species